rnacentral:rRNA from 1 species
ACAACAGUUGGAAACGACUGCUAAUACCGCAUAAGCCCACGGAUCCGCAUGGAUCUGCGGGAAAAGGAUUUAUUCGCUUCAGGAUGGACUCGCGUCCAAUUAGCUAGUUGGUGAGGUAACGGCCCACCAAGGCGACGAUUGGUAGCCGGACUGAGAGGUUGAACGGCCACAUUGGGACUGAGACACGGCCCAGACUCCUACGGGAGGCAGCAGUGGGGGAUAUUGCACAAUGGGGGAAACCCUGAUGCAGCGACGCCGCGUGGAGGAAGAAGGUUUUCGGAUUGUAAACUCCUGUCGUUAGGGACGAUAAUGACGGUACCUAACAAGAAAGCACCGGCUAACUACGUGCCAGCAGCCGCGGUAAAACGUAGGGUGCAAGCGUUGUCCGGAAUUACUGGGUGUAAAGGGAGCGCAGGCGGACCGGCAAGUUGGAAGUGAAAACUAUGGGCUCAACCCAUAAAUUGCUUUCAAAACUGCUGGCCUUGAGUAGUGCAGAGGUAGGUGGAAUUCCCGGUGUAGCGGUGGAAUGCGUAGAUAUCGGGAGGAACACCAGUGGCGAAGGCGACCUACUGGGCACCAACUGACGCUGAGGCUCGAAAGCAUGGGUAGCAAACAGGAUUAGAUACCCUGGUAGUCCAUGCCGU